UUGCUCUCCUAUAAGAGGUCCAGCCUGCCCAGUGACUUAGUUCAACGGCCGCGGUACCCUAACCGUGCGAAGGUAGCGUAAUCACUUGUCUUCUAAAUAGAGACUAGUAUGAAAGGCAUCACGAGAAUUUAACUGUCUCCUUUUUCCAAUCAGUGAAACUAAUCUUCCCGUGAAGAAGCGGGAAUCCAAAAAUAAGACGAGAAGACCCUAUGGAGCUUUAAACACUAACCACCUGCCCAAUCCUAUAAAACCCCGGUUCCUAAACCAACGCAUCAUGACUACGUGUUUUUGAUUGGGGCGACCACGGAAAAUAAUCAAACCUCCGUAAUGAAAACCUACAAGCCACAGCUUUAAGUAUCAACAAAUUGACAUCCAUUGACCCAAUAUAUUGACUAAUGAAC
rnacentral:rRNA from 1 species